GCUUACCAUGCAGUCGCAGGGGUACCCAUCCCAGAGGCGAACGGGUGCGUAACUCGUGAGGAACCUGUCCAACGGCGGGGGAUAGCCGGCCCAACGGCCGGGUAAUACCGCCUACGACCUUCGAGGGGCAUCCCUUGAUGGUGAAAGCAGCAAUGCGCCGAUGGAGGGCCUCGCGGCCUAUCAGCUAGUUGGUGAGGUAAUGGCUCACCAAGGCGACGACGGGUAGCUGGUCCGAGAGGAUGACCAGCCACAUUGGGACUGAGACACGGCCCAGACUCCUACGGGAGGCAGCAGUGGG
rnacentral:rRNA from 1 species